AUUGAACGCUGGCGGCAGGCCUAACACAUGCAAGUCGAGCGGAUGAAGGGAGCUUGCUCCUGGAUUCAGCGGAGGACGGGUGAGUAAUGCCUAGGAAUCUGCCUGGUAGUGGGGGAUAACGUCCGGAAACGGGCGCUAAUACCGCAUAAGUCCUGAGGGAGAAAGUGGGGGAUCUUCGGACCUCACGCUAUCAGAUGAGCCUAGGUCGGAUUAGCUAGUUGGUGGGGUAAAGGCCUACCAAGGCGACGAUCCGUAACUGGUCUGAGAGGAUGAUCAGUCACACUGGAACUGAGACACGGUCCAUACUCCUACGGGAGGCAGCAGUGGGGAAUAUUGGACAAUGGGCGAAAGCCUGAUCCAGCCAUGCCGCGUGUGUGAAGAAGGUCUUCGGAUUGUAAAGCACGUUAAGUUGGGAGGAAGGGCAGUAAGUUAAUACCUUGCUGUUUUGACGUUACCGACAGAAUAAGCACCGGCUAACUUCGUG
rnacentral:rRNA from 1 species